rnacentral:rRNA from 1 species
ACGGGUGAGUAACGCGUGGGAAUCUACCCAUCUCUACGGAAUAACGCAUGGAAACGUGUGCUAAUACCGUAUACGUCCUUCGGGAGAAAGAUUUAUCGGAGAUGGAUGAGCCCGCGUUGGAUUAGCUAGUUGGUGGGGUAAAGGCCUACCAAGGCGACGAUCCAUAGCUGGUCUGAGAGGAUGAUCAGCCGCACUGGGACUGAGACACGGCCCAGACUCCUACGGGAGGCAGCAGUGGGGAAUAUUGGACAAUGGGCGCAAGCCUGAUCCAGCCAUGCCGCGUGAGUGAUGAAGGCCCUAGGGUUGUAAAGCUCUUUCACCGGUGAAGAUAAUGACGGUAACCGGAGAAGAAGCCCCGGCUAACUUCGUGCCAGCAGCCGCGGUAAUACGAAGGGGGCUAGCGUUGUUCGGAUUUACUGGGCGUAAAGCGCACGUAGGCGGACUAUUAAGUCAGGGGUGAAAUCCCGGGGCUCAACCCCGGAACUGCCUUUGAUACUGGUAGUCUUGAGUUCGAGAGAGGUGAGUGGAAUUCCGAGUGUAGAGGUGAAAUUCGUAGA